ACCGCCGUCCCCGCCGUUCGCCGCCGCGCUACGUUCUAGCCGCUUUAGUCUAGAACCAAAUAACCCGCCUGAACAAGGAAUCAGUCACCACCGCCACCGUCAGAAUGUUUUGGUACAGUCAUGCACACCGAGGAUAAUUUCGUGGAGUACACCCUGAAUGGAUGCCGUACCAAGGACGCAAGGACUAGUGAGGAGGCGAUGAGCUAGUGUUCGUGUAGUACCGCUUUUGGUAGAUAAGGAAUUUGCCUCUUUUUUAUGUAUGGUUUUUAAGGUAAUCGCAGUGGAUGUGCAUGUAAAAUUUAUGGACCAGAAA